GAGCAAAAUGUACAACGUGGCGCUUGGUAUUCAAAAUGUCCGAAUUUUGGACGUCAAUUUUAGGCAGCAAACUUUAAUUUUAUCAGCAAGGCAGGCAUACAGACAAAAUGUGGAUGAUAUACAAAGCGAGGCGGCUGGUCACAGGUCAACGCUGAGCUUUUUGUCAUCACUCAAGCCAUUGACCUGACAGCAAGAGAACGUCAAGACUGUUCAGCCAUUUGGCCAUAAGAUAUUGGUUAACAAGUGCAACUGCCUCAUGUACAUUGACAUGCAGAAGGAGUGCCCUGUCCCAUCUGGAACAACAGGGUCUCGGCUUUGGCCAAAAGGUUGAAGAGAGACACUUCUUUCAUAGAUGCCUGCAGAAGGGGCGUCAAAUCCACUUGGAUCAAGACUUCUUGGACUUGUCAAAACAACCCCAAGAGUGUCUAGCACAGCCACAGCAGUUUGCCCUCAUCGUGUAACCAUCAACGGAGGUCCAGGAACCAGAAGAGGUCGGCGUGCACCUGCUCCACUUCGCUGCGCGUGCCGAUGGCCAUUAGGGAACACAGCACAGGUUGGUGGGCUGCAUCAAUGUUACAUUGGUUGUACUUGUGACCGGCGGAGCAAUGAAUUCAGGAAGGUUAGAAAGGGGUGAGUUGUUAUCAAGUCAUUUUCUUCUUGUUUCAAGAAUGUUUCAUGUCACUUCUUACAUGUAGAUGCAUGGAUCCAUGCAGUUUUCAGCAAAUUUUCACGCGCACCACCAAAACGUCAAAUCAGUAAUUUACAAAGAAAAUAAAUUUGUCCGUUUUUGUUCCAGCUUAUACCAGUUCCUUGCAUUUUUGUACUAUUCCAAUUCAGUUGCUGCAUGUACUAGCUGCGUUUUAUAUGCCCCACCAAACAUCAACAGAAGUUAAAAGCAAGAAAUCAAAAUAAAUAUGGCGCUGUGCAAAACUGUACAAUUUAUAUUGGUCAAUUUAUUCACACGUGAAAAUCCUGGAUCUGCAAACAUGUAUAAUUUGUGGUUGUCAAGUUUCAAGUUUUUUUGGUCAGUUUAAAGUCACAUUUCACAUCAUAACAAUGUCACAAGUCCAGCUUCAUGUUGGCAUGUUUUUACUUCAAGAGUUUAGAGUGGACAGGUAACGUUGAACUUGAAGGAAUACACUUGGCUUAGGAGGUGCUGCCUGUUGUCCGAUUUUUGGAUGAGGUCCUGCUUAGUCAAUAUCAUUUUUAAAGUUUUAAGUCAAAAUAGUCAACCAAGACAUCAACAAUAACUUUUCAUCACCUAAUUCUUCUUUUAUUUAGUAUCAACAAGAUUUUAUCAAAAUGAUUACGACAGUGGAUCAAUUCAUUAAUUUAUCAACAAAAUAUUAGUUAUUACUUGCAAACACUCAAUGGGUCCAUCUUGUCUCAUCAUUCCGAACCUGCAGUCGGAAUUAAAAAAAAAAUUUUUUCACAGCUGAACAAACAUAAUAUUUUUGUAUUCAUUUACUUCAUGCCUCGCAAUUAUGAAGAGUCACUUCUGGCUUUUUAACCCAUACUUUCAAGGAUUCUUACAGAACUCAAUUUUAUAUCAAAUUAGGACCUCUUCAACAUAAAUCAAGACCCUUGUAAUUCAAUAGCUGUAUGUAUUCCUUCAGGUUUGACAGUGCUUGUCCAAUUUUUAACGCUUGAAGUAAAAAUUUUCCAACAUGACACUUGACUUGUAACUUUGUUUUGAAACGUGACUUGGAAGAGACUAAAAAAACUUGAUAUAGUACAGUGACAUGAAACUUUCUUGAGACUUGAAGAAAAUGACCAGAUAACGACUCCUCCCCUUUUUGCCUUUCUUAAU